rnacentral:rRNA from 1 species
AUUGAACGCUGCGGCAUGCUUUACACAUGCAAGUCGAACGAGGUGCUUUUGUAGCAAUACGAGAGUAUCCUAGUGGCGAACGGGUGAGUAACGCGUUGGUGACCUGCCCCAAAGUGUGGAAUAACAGUCCGAAAGGAUUGCUAAUACCUCAUGUGGUCAUCGGGUUUAGAAACCGGUGACUAAAGCAGUAAUGCGCUUUGGGGGGGGCCUGCGUCCCAUCAGCUAGUUGGUAGGGUAAUGGCCUACCAAGGCUACGACGGGUAGGGGACCUGAGAGGGUGGCCCCCCACAAGGGAACUGAAACACGGUCCAUACACCUACGGGUGGCAGCAGUAGGGAAUAUUGCUCAAUGGGCGAAAGCCUGAAGCAGCAACGCCGCGUGUGCGAUGAAGGUCUUCGGAUCGUAAAGCACUUUUCUGGGAGAUGAGAAAGGACAGUAUCCCAGGAAUAAGUCUCGGCUAACUACGUGCCAGCAGCCGCCGUAAAAC